rnacentral:misc_RNA from 1 species
UCCGGUUUGUCACCGGCAGUCUCUCAUGAGUCCCCGGCAUUAUCCGCUGGCAACAUGAGACGGGGGUUGCGCUCGUUGCGGGACUUAACCCAACACCUCACGGCACGAGCUGACGACAGCCAUGCACCACCUGUGAAGGUGCCCCGAAGGGAGACCGUGUUUCCACGGCUGUCACCAACAUGUCAAGCCCAGGUAAGGUUCUUCGCGUUGCGUCGAAUUGAACCACAUGCUCCGCUGCUUGUGCGGGUCCCCGUCAAUUCCUUUGAGUUUUAGCCUUGCGGCCGUACUCCCCAGGCGGGGCACUUAAUGCGUUAGCUACGGCACGGGAGGAGUCGACACCUCCCACACCUAGUGCCCAUCGUUUACAGCGUGGACUAC